rnacentral:lncRNA from 1 species
AUAGUUCUGCAUAAUAUAAAAUUAUCUCACAAACAUGGAACUUUCCUUGAAUAGUAGUCAGUUUAUAUGUUGGGUAGAUAUCAAAACUAAAAACUUCAAGCCAGACACACCAAAAAAGAUGCACUCACAUUCCCAAGUUAGCCACAUAAAAACAGUAUAUAUGUGUGCAGCAACACUCAUAUUAUCAUGAAAAUAGUUUCAAGUUCAGAGCCUUAAUCACAACAACUACAAAACCAAAUUAAUACAUCUUAUGUUUAAGUACAUGUUUUUUCAUAAAUAUAUGCUAUAGUACGCAAUUUCCUUUUUUGCAAAUUUAGAGCAAAGACCAAUAACCCUCGAAGGCACAUGGUACUUGACAGCGGUACCUUGGCAGACUUCUAAAUGAAUAGUUCCAAAUCAUGCAAUCUAGUACUUCCAUAUGGUGUAAGUUGGUCCUUCUAGCAUGCCUAGGUUCUCUAGCCUAGUUCCUUUUGAGUAAUCUUGUUCUUUUCCUAUAAUGUAUUAACUGUGAGCUCAUUUUUGGUUUGGAGGUAGAGUUGGAAACCCUCCGGUUCAGCUCUAGGAAGGAGAUCGAUUGGAAUUGGAUCAGGAUCCAGAACAACCAAGUCGCCCUUUUGAUCAAGUACACAACAACAACAAUCAAUAGUGGUAAUAAACAACAUCUCUCCUCCCUCUUCCCUUUACAUAUCAUCGCAUUAAUUAUGGCCCGUUUAUGAUCUGAUGCAAAUGGCUUGACUAUCUUGU